rnacentral:ncRNA from 1 species
CUAGAUAGCAAAAUCAUUGCAAAUUUUAAAAAACUGACCAGGCCCGAAUGUAACCGUGUAAGACAGAUUGAGAGCUUUUUCUGGUAUCUGUGGGUAGUGGUGAACGGUGAAUGGUGAAUGGUGGCUAACUUGUGUGGUGAAUUGUCGGGUUAAUUCUGAUAACGAACGAGAAGCUUUUUAUUGCCUUCAUUUAAUAGCAGUGUUUUAGUAUUUAAAUGUGUUUAUAAAAACGUGUCUGUACCUGUUCUAGUCCUUUUGUAGGACACUAGCGUUUUAUAAACACAAAUUGUGUCUGGCUAUAAUGAUGUCGAGCCUUCACAUCUCUGCGAUGCCCUUAGAUACCCUAGGCUGCGCGCAUAUCACAAUGGAAGUAUCAACGUGUAUUUCCUAGACCGAGAUGACUAAGUAAACCGCUGAACCACUUUCUUGCUUGGGGUUGUGGACUAAGACUGUUCGCAUGAACUUUUGAAUUCCCAGCAAAGUGUAAGUUCUUAACUGGCAUUGAUUACG